GUCUCCCUCUCCGCAGAUGCUGUCAGACCUGCUGAGUUUGUGUCCCCCCCCCCCCACCCCACCCCCGGGAAAAACUCCAGUCCAACUGUGCAAAUUCCCAGCUCCUGAGGAGAAAGUUGAACGUUAACCGCAGCGUUUAAAAUGGAAAUAAGGAGGUCCAAUAUUUCAUCUGUCGUCAAUUAUUGUUUGACCUCAUGGCCUUUGUGAUCCCAAUGAAAGAUGGGAAAUGUGGAUCGAUUGGUGUACAGCGAAUGAUCAGGUUAUUCUAAAUGCCUGGUUCAAGGAGCAUCCAAAAAGGGAGUACAACAGGAAAAGUCCUGGCAACAUGACCAGAAAUCAAAUUAACUAUGUGACAAUAAACAGCAAAUUCCAAAAUGCAGUUUGACAAGUAAAGACCUACCUUGGUGCUGACUGCAGGAGUGAACAUACACCUUUAGUUUGUGCCAUCAAAAUAAAACUGAGGAAGUUCAAAAACACAGGGACAUUAAAGAGACUAGAUUAUGAGCUACUCAAUACAUAGAGUUCAAUUAAAGAAAAAUUUAAAGUGGAAGUUCAAAGCUGUUUUGAAUAGCUUGAAAACCGAGGAAACCAUUCAACAUGGGACAUGUUCAAAGCAUCAGUGUUAGAAUCAUCAAAAGGCACCAAACAACAUGACUAAAAUAAAAGAUCUGGUCAUUUAUUUAUUUCAUUGCUGUUUGUGAAAGCUUGUGCCAUACAAAUUGGCAGCCACUUUUCCUACAUUAUAACUGUGGCUACCCUUCAAAACUACUUCAUUGGUUGUAAAGCACUUUGGGGUGCCUUGCAGUCAUGAAAGGUGCUAUAUAAAUGCAAACUCUUUUUUCUUUCUAUUCCACCCUGAUAUGUUGCCCUUCACAAGUGACCUCUGUUAAAGAGAAUGUGUUUCCCUGAUUAAACCUCCACUUAUCAAUGCUCCUUCAAUCUGACUAGAAACUAGUGAAAAUAUUGUGGCCCUGCAAACACAGAAAUAAUGACAUUAGAAAAAGAUCAUCCGGUCCAUCCAGCCUGCCCCUUACAACAGUGAUUCCAUAUAUUUUCACACAAUAUAUAUACUCUUCAUCCCAACCAGAACCAUGCAAUCUUAGGUGAUGGAACACACUUCUAUUUUUGUUAACUAUGUAAUGAAUCAGAUGUGAAAUAGAGCAUUCUCUACUUUUCCCCAUCAGUGUGCAGAACCUUACAAAUGCUUCCCAAUCUUCAACCUUACAACUGGCACAAGGAGACUUGCAGUCUGUAGGUCAGGUUGGACUUGAAUUUGAAGUCCCAGCAAGAGGGACAGUAUGCUAACCCCAUAUGGCAUUGCCCCCUUUUAAAUUAAAAGAAUGUUUUUCUAUUAUAACUCUGAAAAUUACAUGAAGCUAAACUAAACAUUACAUACUGCCGAGUCUAUUCAAUUUAAAGAUUCAAUCCCAAUGAAGAAAUGGGCAGAAGUGACUCCCACAUUCUACGGUUUACGAGACAGAAGCCUUACUGCUUGACCACCACACCAGAUGCUCAUUGCUCUGAUUCUGAACUGGCCAGGGCUGUUAUAAUUGGAUAAUUCUAUAACAUAUGCCACUUUCUAACAGCUUGUGUAAAGGCAUUGAGUAAUAUUGUAUUAAAACAUAGGUUUGGAGGUAAAAAA